rnacentral:lncRNA from 1 species
GGUCCACUCACAAUAUGCGGUCAAUCCUGACGUCGCUCGUGAUUCUCCUCGUAUGGAGACUCCUCUCGUCCUGUACGAAUAACAAUCAUAAAUAUAUAAUUCACAGGACGGAACUUUAACUUUACGAUACUUAAUUGGAAAUUUAAAACAUCCCCCUUCCUAACAUCCGACUCCUCAACCCUCUACAAUUUCCAUCCUUAAUACUCCAUCCAUAUUCAAUCAUCGAUAAAUAAAUUCUAGAGUGAAUUCGAAAGAAUUCCGGCGAUCGAAUUCACAUAAAUCGUUAAUUAAUCAAUUAAACACAAUUCGUAAUUCCUCCAAUUUCCACCAAACUUCAUACAUUACAUUCUACAAUCGUUAUAGAGUAUAUGGGGGUUAAAACGACAAUUAAAACACUGCUUUACGCGCCUCCAAGCGCUACCUCCCCACGCGCCGGCGGCGACCUCCUCCG